rnacentral:rRNA from 1 species
GUUGACGGGGCCCGCACAAGCGGUGGAGCAUGUGGUUAAUUCGACGCAACGCGAAGAACCUUACCUGGGCUUGACAUCCCGAUCGUACCUGCUGGAAACAGCGGGGUCAGUUCGGCUGGAUCGGAGACAGGUGCUGCAUGGCUGUCGUCAGCUCGUGUCGUGAGAUGUUGAGUUAAGUCCCGCAACGAGCGCAACCCUUGUCCUUAGUUGCCAUCAUUUAGUUGGGCACUCUAAGGAGACUGCCGGUGUUAAACCGGAGGAAGGUGGGGAUGACGUCAAGUCCUCAUGGCCCUUAUGUCCAGGGCUACACACGUGCUACAAUGGCCGGUACAAAGGGCAGCAAAGCCGCGAGGUGGAGCCAAUCCCAGAAAGCCGGUCUCAGUUCGGAUUGGAGUCUGCAACUCGACUCCAUGAAGUUGGAAUCGCUAGUAAUCGCGGAUCAGCAUGCCGCGGUCGAAUACGUUCCGGGCCUU